rnacentral:rRNA from 1 species
AAUGGGCGAAAGCCUGACGCAGCCACGCCGCGUGUGCGAUGAAGGUCUUCGGAUCGUAAAGCACUGUGGGGGGAGAAGAACCAAGCCGGUGAAAAAUCGGCCCUGACGGUAUCCCCUUAGCAAGCACCUGCUAACUCCGUGCCAGCAGCCGCGGUAAUACGGAGGGUGUAAACGUUGCUCGGAAUCAUUGGGCGUAAAGCGCACGUAGGCGGCCUAUCAAGUCGGAUGUGAAAGCCCUGGGCUCAACCCAGGAAGCGCACCCGAAACUGACAGGCUUGAAUGCCGGAGGGGCCCAGAGAAUUCACGGUGUAGAGGUGAAAUUCGUAGAUAUCGGGAGGAAUACCAGUGGCGAAGGCGCUGGGCUGGACGGCUAUUGACGCUGAGGUGCGAAAGCGUGGGGAGCAAA